CGAACGCUGGCGGCGUGCUUACCACAUGCAAGUCGACGAAGACCAAUGGAAGCUUGCUUCUAUCAAUCUUAGUGGCGAACGGGUGAGUAACGCGUAAUCAACCUGCCCUUCAGAGGGGGACAACAGUUGGAAACGACUGCUAAUACCGCAUACGAUCUAAUCUCGGCAUCGAGGAUAGAUGAAAGGUGGCCUCUAUGUAUAAGCUAUCACUGAAGGAGGGGAUUGCGUCUGAUUAGCUAGUUGGAGGGGUAACGGCCCACCAAGGCGAUGAUCAGUAGCCGGUCUGAGAGGAUGAACGGCCACAUUGGGACUGAGACACGGCCCAGACUCCUACGGGAGGCAGCAGUGGGGAAUCUUCCGCAAUGGACGAAAGUCUGACGGAGCAACGCCGCGUGAGUGAUGACGGCCUUCGGGUUGUAAAGCUCUGUUAAUCGGGACGAAAGGCCUUCUUGCGAAUAGUGAGAAGGAUUGACGGUACCGGAAUAGAAAGCCACG
rnacentral:rRNA from 1 species